rnacentral:rRNA from 1 species
GGGCCCGCACAAGCGGUGGAGUAUGUGGUUUAAUUCGAAGCAACGCGAAGAACCUUACCAGGCCUUGACAUCCCGAGCAAAGAUAUGGAGACAUAUUGGAGGUUAUCUCGGUGACAGGUGGUGCAUGGUUGUCGUCAGCUCGUGUCGUGAGAUGUUGGGUUAAGUCCCGCAACGAGCGCAACCCUUGUCUUUAGUUACUAACAUUAAGUUGAGGACUCUAGACGAGACUGCCGGUUGAUAAACCGGAGGAAGGUGGGGAUGACGUCAAAUCAUCAUGCCCCUUAUGGCCUGGGCUACACACGUACUACAAUGGCAGUUACAAAGAGCAGCGAACUCGCGAGAGUAAGCAAAUCUCAUAAAGGCUGUCUCAGUUCGGAUUGGAGUCUGCAACUCGACUCCAUGAAGUCGGAAUCGCUAGUAAUCGUAGAUCAGCAUGCUA